UGGAGCGAGCCGGGUCCCAGAGCGAGCAGGGAUCUGCUUGAGAAGCGUCACACCGUUGGUGAUGAUGAAGGUGGCCCGGCUGAGCUUCGUGGAAGCGUGGAUGAGAGCCUCCACAGCCACCAGCUGGUCCGCCUCGCGCUCCGAGCCACACAGAGCAACCAUCAUCUCCAUCACACCUUUCAUGCCCAGCAGCUGAUUGCCCAGGUCAAAGGGCCCCUGCAAGAUGCCGGACACAGUCUGGAUGGCAUUUACAUUCUUGUCCAUGUCCUGGGGGUCAAAUUUGCUCCUAAAACAGAGGACAAGAGUGGUCAAGAGAAUCAACCCAAGGAGGUAAAAAAGAUGGCAUGAAGGAAGAUUUGAAUUUGCCUUCCUUCAGGAGCUCUGUGGCACUGGGUGAGUCACUGAACCUUUCUGAGUCUCGGCUCUUUGGUCUACAAAUAGAGAGCAUAGUGCUGUUAUUUCUUAAGGACACAUGACAUCACGGCUGCUCGCAGGGUAUGUCCCCCUGACAGCACAUUGACCUUCGGGAUUGACCUUCAGGAAGUUGAAUUAUUGGACAGAGAAGGAAGCAGCAUUGAGGAGUGCAUUGGCCUGCAUUGCAGCACCCCAAAGUUUCUCUCUUGAUGACCUGGGGUACCCUAAAAUGUCAUUUCAAAUUAGGAUGAGUGACAAGUUACGAGAUGCUAGUUAUGAGAUGCUAGUGCAUAACCACAGCCCCAGACGGGCCCAGUGAGGCACCUAGGAGCUGCCCUCUGGCAGGUGAGGGUACGGAACUCAAUUUGGAAUCUCAUGAGAUGAGACGGUGAGGGGAACACCCGAAAGUGGGGGGUGGAAUAACCCAAGGACAUAAAUGGGGACCAGGGUACACACAGAGCCCCAGGGUUAAAAGCAGUGGAUAUGUCCUGCAGACGCCGGUGCCAUAUCCCAGACCCUGCCUUAUCCCAGUAGUCCCUGUCUUUCCCUGAGCUCAAGGACGUUGACCAAUCAGGACUGGACACUCUACAAGCAUGAGUUCCUCACAUGCAUGGAGGACCUACGUGGAAACUUUAGGUGGCAACUCUUCCUGUAUCUGCCAGUCCAUUCGUGUGUUUAGGGAGCCACCGCCUGACCAAGGCUUGCUUGGGGCUUCGUCUCCCAUUUAGCUGGAGCUUGUAUCUCAAUAAAAAGCUUUUCCUUG
ensembl:processed_transcript